GGAGUGAUUUACGGAAAAGGAACUCGGCAAAAUGACCCCGUAACUUCGGGAUAAGGGGUGCCAGUAGUAGCUGACCUAAUCAAGGGAAGGCGAGGCUGGCCGCAGAGAAUCGUCUCAAGCGACUGUUUAGCAAAAACACAGGAGCGUGCUAAGGCAUUGUCCAAGCCUACGUAUACGCUCUGACUCCUGCCCGGUGCCGGAAGGUUAAGGCAAGUCGUCAGCCGCAAGGCGAAGCGAUGAACCGAAGCCCCGGUAAACGGCGGCCGUAACGAUAACGGUCCUAAGGUAGCGAAAUUCCUUGUCGGGUAAGUUCCGACCUGCACGAAUGGAGUAGCGACUUGAGAGCUGUCUCUUCCGUAAGCUCGGCGAAAUAGAAGCAUCGGUGAGGAUUCCGAUUACCCGCGACAGGACAAAAAGACCCCAUGCACCUUUACUACAACCUGUCAUUGAUUGUCGGUAUGCGCUGCGUAGCAUAGGUGGGAGCCAUUGAGACCGCGGUUUUGGCUGCGGUGGAGGCACCAGUGAAAUACCACCCUUCGUUUACUAACAAUCUCACUCAGCCGGCAACACCGGCGAGGACCGUGGCAGGCGGGUAGUUUGACUGGGGCGGUCGCCUCCUAAAGAGUACCGGAGGCGCGCAAUGGUUGGCUCAGUGCGGUCGGUAAUCGCACGUGGAGUGUAUACGCAAAAGCCAGCCUGACUGCGAGCGCUACAGCGCGAGCAGGGACGAAAGUCGGUGUAAGUGAUCCGGCGGGACCGUGUGGACGGCCCGUCGCUCAUCGGAUAAAAGGUACGCUGGGGAUAACAGGCUUAUCGCGCCCGAGAGUUCACAUCGACGGCGCGGUUUGGCACCUCGAUGUCGGCUUGUCACAUCCUGGGGCUGGAGAAGGUCCCAAGGGUCCGGCUGUUCGCCGGUUAAAGUGGCACAUGAGCUGGGUUCAGAACGUCGUGAGACAGUUCGGUCUGUAUCCGUCGUGGGCGUGGGAGUGUUGAGGGACGUCGACCUUAGUACGAGAGGACCGGGUCGAAGCGACCGCUCGUGUACGGGCUGUUCCGCCAGGGGCAGCGCCCGGUAGCGAUGUCGCGCGAAGAUAACCGCUGAAAGCAUCUAAGUGGGAAACUUUUCCCAAGAUGAACACUCCUGGAUCUUAAGAUCCCUGUAGGGCCGUAGGAGACUACUACGUUGAUAGGCGGCAGAUGCACGGCACGUAAGUGCUUUAGUCGAGCCGUACUAAUCGCCCGUGAAGUUUGAUCUC
rnacentral:rRNA from 1 species